UUAUGGACGAGGUUUUGGUUUUGACCAUGCAGCACAAACGACCCAGACUCCAACUCGGGAUAAUCUUGAAUGUGCAAUUUUCAGUCCACUUUCACACUCAGAAAAAUAUUGUGCGUAUCACCGCGAACUUAAGCCAAGGAUUACUGACUGGUGUUAACGUUUCCAAUGCCCUCGCCAUAAAACUAGGUAAUUCGAUGUCGUUAUCUCCACUUGUACGUUUUGUAAUCGCCUUAAAGAAAGUCAGUCGUCGUCAUUCAGAAACUGGCAAUAGUGAAA